rnacentral:rRNA from 1 species
GAUGAACGCUAGCGGCAGGCUUAAUACAUGCAAGUCGAGGGGCAGCAUGGUGUAGCAAUACACUGAUGGCGACCGGCAAACGGGUGCGAAACACGUACACAACCUCCCUUCAAGCGGGGCAUAGCCCAGAGAAAUUUGGAUUAAUACCCCAUAGAAUAUUGGAAAGGCAUCUUUUUGAUAUUAAAGAUUUAUCACUUGAAGAUGGGUGUGCGGCUGAUUAGGUAGUUGGCGGGGUAACGGCCCACCAAGCCUUCGAUCAGUAACUGGUGUGAGAGCACGACCAGUCACACGGGCACUGAGACACGGGCCCGACUCCUACGGGAGGCAGCAGUAAGGAAUAUUGGUCAAUGGACGAAAGUCUGAACCAGCCAUGCCGCGUGGAGGAUGAAGGUCCUCUGGAUUGUAAACUUCUUUUAUAUGGGACGAAAAAGGGGCUUUCUAGCUCAACUGACGGUACCAUAUGAAUAAGCACCGGCUAACUCCGUGCCAGCCGCCGCAGUAACAC